rnacentral:rRNA from 1 species
AUGGCAGCAAAGCUUAAGCCCAUGGAUGCGGAUCUGGAGAUCAAACUAGCGCUCCUGGUCCACCUGGUCAUGGCUUCACUGCCACAGGAGUUUGCAACUUUUGUUGUAAACUAUAAUAUGUCACCUGGAACAUGGGACAUUGAAAAGACAAUAGCAAUGUGUGUCCAAGAAGAGGACAGACUCAAAGCCGCACAUGGUGGUUCAAUCAACUAUGUGAAGGAUUACAAGAAAAAGAACUACAAUCAAAACAACAAAAGUUCUCCUUCAAAGAAUGGAAAAGCCCCCUAUCAGCAUCAGCAACAGCCUUUCUCAGUGGACAAAGACACGUGUCUCCACUGCAAACAGAAAGGGCAUUACAAGAAAGACUGCGCUGCUUGGCUGAAGUCAGUCAUGGCAAAAAGAGGGAUUCCAUUCGACGCGAACUACGCUAAGAAGCGAAAGACGCAUUGA